rnacentral:rRNA from 1 species
AGUGAACGCUGGCGGUAUGCCUAACACAUGCAAGUCGAACGGCAGCACAGUAAGUGCUUGCUCUUACGGGUGUCGAGUGGCGGACGGUUGACGUAUACAUCGGAAUCUACUUUUUCGUGGGUGAUAACGUAGGGAAACUUACGCUAAUACCGCAUACGACCUACUUGUGUAAGCAUGGGUUCUUCUGACCUUUCGCGAUUGUAUUAGCCGAUGUGGGAUUAGCUAGUUGGCUGGGUAAAGGCCCACCAAGGCGACGAUCCGUAGAUGGUCUGAGAGGAUGAUCAGCGACAGUGGAACAGAGACACGGUCAAGACUACUACGGGAGGAAGCAGUGGGGAAUAUUGGACAAGGGGGGAAAGGAUGAUACAGCAAAACCGAGUGGGUGAAGAAGGAGUUAGGGUUGUAAAGACAUUUUGUUGGGAAAGAAAAGAAGCAGGUUAAUACGAAGAUGUAAUGACGGUACCGAAAGAAUAAGCACCGGCUAACUUCGUG